CCUACGGGAGGCAGCAGUGGGGAAUUUUGGACAAUGGGCGAAAGCCUGAUCCAGCAAUGCCGCGUGAGUGAAGAAGGCCUUCGGGUUGUAAAGCUCUUUUGUCAGGGAAGAAACGGUGAGAGCUAAUAUCUCUUGCUAAUGACGGUACCUGAAGAAUAAGCACCGGCUAACUACGUGCCAGCAGCCGCGGUAAUACGUAGGGUGCAAGCGUUAAUCGGAAUUACUGGGCGUAAAGCGUGCGCAGGCGGUUUUGUAAGUCUGAUGUGAAAUCCCCGGGCUCAACCUGGGAAUUGCAUUGGAGACUGCAAGGCUAGAAUCUGGCAGAGGGGGUAGAAGUACUACG
rnacentral:rRNA from 1 species